rnacentral:rRNA from 1 species
CUUGCUAGUUGCUGACGAGUGGCGGACGGGUGAGUAACGCGUAGGAAUCUACCGAGUAGUGGGGGACAACAGUUGGAAACGACUGCUAAUACCGCAUAAUCCCUGAGGGGGAAAGGAGGGGAUCUGUUUACAGACCUUUCGCUAUUUGAUGAGCCUGCGUGAGAUUAGCUAGUUGGUGAGGUAAUGGCUCACCAAGGCGACGAUCUCUAGCUGGUCUGAGAGGAUGAUCAGCCACACUGGAACUGAGACACGGCCCAAACUCCUACGGGAGGCAGCAGUGGGGAAUCUUGCACAAUGGAGGAAACUCUGAUGCAGCGAUGCCGCGUGAGUGAAGAAGGCCCUUGGGUUGUAAAGCUCUUUCGUCGGGGAAGAAAAUGACUGUACCCGAAUAAGAAGGUCCGGCUAACUUCGUGCCAGCAGCCGCGGUAAUACGAAGGGACCUAGCGUAGUUCGGAAUUACUGGGCUUAAAGAGUUCGUAGGUGGUUGAAAAAGUUGGUGGUGAAAUCCCAGAGCUUAACUCUGGAACUGCCAUCAAAACUUUUCAGCUAGAGUAUGAUAGAGGAAAGCAGAAUUUCUAGUGUAGAGGUGAAAUUCGUAGAUAUUAGAAAGAAUACCAAUUGCGAAGGCAGCUUUCUGGAUCAUUACUGACACUGAGGAACGAAAGCAUGGGUAGCGAAGAGGAUUAGAUACCCUCGUAG